rnacentral:tRNA from 1 species
UGGCUCAGAGGUUAAAGCAUCUGCCUCCAAUGCAGGAGACCCAGGUUCGAUCCCCGG